UAAAUGCACUCAAAGAUUCCUCACAAGUAGCUCUUUGGAGCUUCAGAUGUGAAAUGGAUCAUUCCUCAAUCUGUAAUAGACCCUUCUGUGAAGCUCUUCAAUCAAACCAGAGAAUUCAAGGUGAAAUUAAGGGAAGGAUUGGAAACCCCUACAGGGGGACUUGAGCGAACUAGCUGAGAAAGGAACCUGAGGCAUUUUGUAGCAUCCUAAACAGAAGGAUAUUGCAGGGAGCUGAUUCUGCUUUGAUCCUUGUGCUUGUUGUCAAAGCGCUUGGGAUUGAAGAGACUGUUGGCUACAAUUGACUGUGACAAUUAGGAGAUGAUCAGAGCCCUAGAGUGGAGCACUUAAAGGGUAAUUUACAUGUCAGUUUGUCGAAUAAAAAAAAAGAUAUUCAGCUAAGAUUUUUUUUUUCCCCCUCAGAGCCUUGUAAACUGCAAUUUGUGCUCUGGUAAGAAAAACCUGGCAGAGGAGUUAGGAUAGCCAUUACCAUUUGAAAAGAAGCAAUCAGAAGGCCGCCGCUGAGCCCUUUGUCCACUAAAAAUGCUGAUUUGCAGGCAGUGAGUGAAAAAGUGGAACCGUCACUAAAUAAAACCGUGAGCUAGAAGAAUUUCGGCUCUAGAAGACAGGCCUUGCUUUGUCUUCUCCGGUGCUGCAAACUCAGUGACCAGCAAUGUGCUUUGAAUAUAGUUGGUGCUCAGUAAAUAUUUGCUAAAUGGAUGAAGACAAAUGAAGAGAAGAGGGGUGAGGAUGGCUUGAGGAAUGGGUAGAAGCUUGCAUUUUGUCUAGUAAAAACACAGGUGAAGAACCAUUUCAUACCAGCAGCGAUGCUGUGGGCCCG